rnacentral:rRNA from 1 species
CCUACGGGUGGCUGCAGUGGGGAAUAUUGGACAAUGGGCGAAAGCCUGAUCCAGCCAUGCCGCGUGUGUGAAGAAGGCCUUCGGGUUGUAAAGCACUUUCAGUGGGGAAGAAAGCCUUGGGGCUAAUACCCUCGAGGAAGGACAUCACCCACAGAAGAAGCACCGGCUAACUCCGUGCCAGCAGCCGCGGUAAUACGGAGGGUGCGAGCGUUAAUCGGAAUUACUGGGCGUGAAGCGCGCGUAGGCGGUCUGAUAAGCCGGUUGUGAAAGCCCCGGGCUCAACCUGGGAACGGCAUCCGGAACUGUCAGGCUAGAGUGCAGGAGAGGAAGGUAGAAUUCCCGGUGUAGCGGUGAAAUGCGUAGAGAUCGGGAGGAAUACCAGUGGCGAAGGCGGCCUUCUGGACUGACACUGACGCUGAGGUGCGAAAGCGUGGGUAGCAAACAGGAUUAGAUACCCCGGUAGUC